rnacentral:lncRNA from 1 species
UUAAAGCCGUACACAUACACGAUUGCACAUUAUUUAGGUUGCGUUUGGCUUGAAAAUUAAAUUUUGGAGAAUAAUUUUUGUUGUUUUCGAGAACAGGAGAUAUUUUGGUAUAAACUAAAAUAAGUUGUAAAUUACGUUUGAAUGUUGUUUGUUUGUUUGUUUUUAGAAAAUAUUCUUGUUCUUGAUAGUGUUUGAAUGUUUAUGUUGGAAUAAAGUGUUAGAAAGAUAAAAAUUAAAUAAAAUGAUAAAUUUAUCCUUGAAUGUAAUAAUCAAAUAUGAUUUAAUAAAUUAAGUAUUGAAAUAAAUUAAUUUACAAAUUAAGUAUAUUUGUAUAUUAUUUUGAAAAUAUUAAUUUAGUAGUAUUCUAUUUAAGUAUUUAUUUAUUUUUUUCGAAACUAAUUUAAAAUGGAAUAGCAGUUAUUAAAUUAAAUUAAUUAUUUAAUCAAUUUUUUUUAAUUUACUAAAUUAAAUAUUAAUAAGUCAAAAUAGUAUGUCUCUUAUAAAUUAAAAAAAAAAUCCAAAAAAAAUUUUCCUAAAUAUUUUGAUCCUAUAAUUUUGCUCUCACCCUUUCUCUCCUCCCAUCCCGCAUCCCCUCGAGUUAUUACUAUAUUUCAAAUUCUGUAUAACCGUCUACAUUCAUCUAUCUGUUUCUAUUAGCAAUUAAUUUUCUAAAUUAGAAAACAGUUCCUCAUAAUUACAAUUGAUCAAUUAGUAUAAACUAUGAUAAUUUAUUGUCGAAUUAUACCAAAUACGAUCCAUAUUUUUUUUUCAAAAUAGGCUCGAUAAUUAUUGUCAUUUCUUACUAAAAAGAGCCUUUUCAAGUUGCCAUAUUUUUUUUCAUUAUAUUUCACAAAUUAACUUAUUAUUUGUUACUAUUUAAUGGCCCAUCACCUUUCGUUCUAACAAAACUACAUCUUAUUUAGUACAUGUAACGUUAAUUCUACUAGUUUAGGGCUUGCGCUUCGUGGCGGAUCAACAUCGGCAACCUAAAAUUUCAGUUUGAUUUUUGAUUUUAUAAUUGUAAAAAUAAUUUUUUUUAAAAAAUAAUUAUAAAAAUAGACCUCUAAAUACGGUCAAUAAUUUACCGCAUUCAUAACGUUUCAUUACGAGUAGAAAAAAAAUAAAAACAGUUAAUCAUUUACCGCUUUUAUAGAAUUAUAUUUACAAAUAAAAAUUUAACAGCUCUAUUUUAAGAAUAAAAUUUUAAAAAAAAAUUAUUGCACUAAAAAAUCCGAUGGGAUAUG